rnacentral:rRNA from 1 species
UAGGGAAUCUUCGGCAAUGGACGAAAGUCUGACCGAGCAACGCCGCGUGAGUGAAGAAGGUUUUCGGAUCGUAAAACUCUGUUGCUAGAGAAGAACAAGGACGUUAGUAACUGAACGUCCCCUGACGGUAUCUAACCAGAAAGCCACGGCUAACUACGUGCCAGCAGCCGCGGUAAUACGUAGGUGGCAAGCGUUGUCCGGACUUAUUGGGCGUAAAGCGAGCGCAGGCGGUUUCUUAAGUCUGAUGUGAAAGCCCCCGGCUCAACCGGGGAGGGUCAUUGGAAACUGGGAGACUUGAGUGCAGAAGAGGAGAGUGGAAUUCCAUGUGUAGCGGUGAAAUGCGUAAAUAUAUGGAGGAACACCAGUGGCGAAGGCGGCUCUCUGGUCUGUAACUGACGCUGAGGCUCGAAAGCGUGGGGAGCAAACAGG